rnacentral:rRNA from 1 species
CAGUAGCCACGGGAAUACGUAGGUGGCAAGCGUUGUCCGGAAUUAUUGGGCGUAAAGGGCUCGCAGGCGGUUUCUUAAGUCUGAUGUGAAAGCCCCCGGCUCAACCGGGGAGGGUCAUCGGAAACUGGGAAACUUGAGUGCAGAAGAGGAGAGUGGAAUUCCAAGUGUAGCGGUGAAAUUCGUAGAGAUGUGGAGGAACACCAGUGGCGAAGGCGACUCUCUGGUCUGUAACUGACGCUGAGGAGCGAAAGCGUGGGGAGCGAACAGGAUUAGAUACCCGGGUAGUCCCUGUCUCUUAUAC